GCGGCGGCGGCGGCGGGCGGCGGCGGAGGCAGCGGCCGCCUCGGCGCUCGGUGGCUGCGCUCCGCUCCCUGGUGUGUUGAUUCUUCCCCCAGCUGCUGCCUAAUGGAGUCCAGGCGCUCGCGUCACAGGAAAUGCCUAUACUGCCCUCCUCACUCACUUCCGGUGGCAGGUGAGACGUGAGGGUUCCAUGUCACUGUGACGUGCCCGUUUGUGUGCACGCAGAAAUGCAGCAGCAAAGACUGGGCUGAAUGAACCCUGACCGUCGGUGAAGGGUCUGCGUUACCCCAGACGGUGUGUACGCGCCUGUACAAACAUUUUCUCGGAAAUGAAAAGGAAAUCUUCCUCAGAAGUAGUUUCCGCGUGGAAAAAACGUAGAUUCAACUGAUGCGCCUUCUAUCUCUGAAAUUUCCAGUGUUAGUAACUCAAGGUAACGUCAGGGAGGCCUUGGGAGACAGUCCCUUUUAAAUUCAAAAAAUGAUAAAAAAAAAUGAUGCUUAUGAGAAAUUAGUGAAAGAAUCCUGAGCUCUAUUGAUCCUCAGACUGGAAGAAGGGGGAGGAAGUCCAGUGCAGGCGCUUACAGAGACCCAGCUUUAUAGUUCUCAUCUCUCAAGUAUGCUUCCAGGUGGCGGUGUAAUUGCAAGGUGACUCACGCUGGAUGUUUUUCUUCUCCUGAGACAGACGGAGUGCUAGGUGCGGAUCAGAGGGCACUGUCAUUGUGUCCAGCAGAGCCUGAAUUACUGGGUGCUGGACACCUUCAGAGGUCCCUGUGUGUCUGUGAGCUUUACGACCUUAUUAUUAAAAGUUACUGCUGAUACAAAA